UACAGCCAUACCAACAACAUUGAAACACCAGUUCUUGUACGAUCACCGAAGUUAAGAAACGUCGAUUUUGGUCAGUACCCUGAUGGGUGACCGCUUGGGAAUACCA